rnacentral:rRNA from 1 species
AGUGAACGCUGGCGGCGUGCCUAAUACAUGCAAGUCGAACGCGAAAGUCCUUCGGGAUGAGUAAAGUGGCGCACGGGUGAGUAAUGGUUGAGAACAUGCCCUGAAGUGGGGAAUAACAGUUGGAAACGACUGCUAAUACCGCAUGGUGUCGCAAGACUAAAGGUGGGAUCGCAAGACCUACCGCUUCAGGAUUGGCUCAACUCCCAUUAGCUAGUUGGCAGGGUAAUGGCCUACCAAGGCAACGAUGGGUAUGUGGUCUUAGAGGAUGAUCACACACACUGGAACUGAGACACGGUCCAGACUCCUACGGGAGGCAGCAGUAGGGAAUAUUGCACAAUGGAGGAAACUCUGAUGCAGCAACGCCGCGUGAGUGAAGAAGGCCCUUGGGUCGUAAAGCUCUUUAGCCUGGAAAGAAGUGUCCAUGAGUAAAUAAUUCGUGGAUGUGACGGUACCAGGAGAAUAAGGACCGGCUAAUUUCGUG